rnacentral:sRNA from 1 species
UUCCGGCUGCGCCUUUGAAAAAAUAUGAAAAACUCUUUACGGCGCAGCCACGAUUUCCCUGGUGUUGGCGCAGUAUUCGCGCACCCCGGUUAAUC